CCAAGCUAAUUUUUGUAUUUUUAGUAGAGACAGGGUUUCACCGUGUUGGCCAGGCUGGUCUUGAGCUCCUGACCUCAAGUGAUCUGCCUGCCUCUGCCUCCCAAUGUGCUGGGAUUACAUGGGUGAGCUGCCACGCCUGGCCAACUUCUGUGUAUUUAUUGAGGGAGGUGAUUUGGGUGGGGAUGGUGGAAGGAUUGGGUCAUGUGAAAGAGAAGGAGUCCUGGUUUGUAAGUUAGAUCAUGUGAGGGAUAGGGAUAGGGAGUGGAGCACAGGGUGAAUGAGACCACACACAUGUAAGAGGGAAUGAUGAGCAGGCAGGAAGAGAGGGUUGGUGUAGGAAAGGGUUGAUGUAGGAAAGAUUUGGUGUACGAAGGGGUUGGUGUAGGAAAGGGGUGGUGUAGGAAAGGGUUGGUGUAGGAAAGGUUUGGUGUAGGGUGCUGACAUUUGCAUAAGUUGCACUGGGGUAGGAGUGGAUGAUGAUGGAAAGUUGGAAGAAUGUGAUAUUUGGGUGGAAAUAACAACUUAGAAAUUGAGUCAUCUUUUAGCUACAGAGAAGGGUAUUCCCUUCACCAUAUAGUGAGCGGGUGCUGUAUCCAUGGCUCUUGACAAAGUUGUUUACUUUGUGCCUUUUCCUGCAUUAUUGGCAUCUGGAGUUCUAACAGCCAAGAGAGACAGAGGUCAUAGUGGAAUCAAUAUUUCUAUUACAGAUAAGAAAAUCCCAGAAGGAGGGCCUACAUAGAUUAACCUGUACACAACCAAACUAAGAUUUAAGAAUUUUUCUGAAGAUAAUCCUGGGAUUAUGUCUCACAUUUCAUUUUAAGCUUCUUUCUUCAUUUCCCUUUGCUUAAUAUUUCUCUCCCCUAUUUUAUUCCUCCUUGAAAUAAAAUGGGACAAUAAUGUGUUUUAAAUGUAGAAUCAAGGAAUAACAAGAAAUCGUCAUUUCAACUGCUAUCAUGUCCAGUGAAAUUAAAUGCUUGGAUAAUUACUUUGUUAAUUACUAACAACUCCAAAAUUCUGAUUCUCAAUCCACAGUCUAUUGAAUCAUAUAAAUGGCUUGCUUUUAUUGAAUGGAAAAAGACAAAGAAGAAAAAGAGUGUCCAGUAGAGAGGAGGAGAAAGCACUACAGGGAACACCAGGGUCCCCAUGAUAAGUUCACUUUAUUCCACUCCAUACUUCCUGUUAAUUAGGAGCUUCCAAUCAUUGCAGCAACAUGGGGUCCUACACUUUAACCCAACCCCUCCUCUUCUACUAUCCCUAACUUUGACUAGUAUGAGAUGAAUACUUGAGUUCAGCAACUUCCCAUGGCUUUCGAAUCUCAGGAGUUGUUCUUACUCUUUUUGAUAUAACAACCCUCAAUUAAUGUUUGGUAUUCUUACGCAACCAGUGGGAAAACAAGUAUGCAUCUGGAAAGCUUAGAAAAUAUAGAGAUAGUCAUAUACCUAGGCUUGUUUUUAUUUUAAUUGAGCAAUUUGCAAAGGUAUCUUCUAUAUUAAUAAAUGUACAUUCAAUUCAAACAGAUUGAUAUUGAAUUAAUAGGAAGUAAUAAAUUGGUUUAUUUAUGCUAGUGGAAUUAAAAAAUCUUGCUACUCUAUACAUUCAAUUUCUAGUCCCUGCUUUGAAAAGAGCAUUUUCUUCCUUUUGAAAUAUAUUUGAGCAUAGUAACUUUCAAGGUCCUAAGUUUAUUGGCAUAAUUUAAUGGAAAAAUUUAUGCUCUAAAGCAUUCAUUUUUUUCCCCAAGCUUUGUGGUUUUCAAUUUCUCAUCUACUGGGUGGCUUUUAGUUUACAUGGCAGAACAGAAUCUUCUCAACUUUUUGAUUCCCCUGAUAAAAUAUUCAAUAGAGAACUAAGCCAAAGUUUGCUUCACCCAAGGACAUGAUCUCAUCCUUAUUCUUGUCUUCAUGCCUAUUGAAAUACAGCUAUUCUUGUAUGUAUUUAGCUAAGUGAUAGGCUUAAGCAUCAGUUGUCUUUUUUGGCUAAUUUGUUUCAAAAGUAAUUGAGCCCAUGUACACAUGAAAUAAUAUGUAAAACAGUAAAGAUCCCUGUACACAACAGUAUUGAAGCCACUGUAAUAUCUCAAGACUAAAUUAGACACUCUCUUCCUAGGCCCCUUUCACUCCUCCACCCUCCACCACAUAGGACACUUUCUGGAAAAGAAGUCCAGGCAAAGAGACGUUAGUUUAAUUGUUGCUAACGUCACAUAGAAAUGAUCACCAUCUUGGAAUUUCUGAAUUCACAUGAAAGGGUGAUACUGAGUUUAAACGUAAAGUUUCAUAUUCCAUUGGUGUCAAAAUUGGUGGACAGAAAGAGUACAGGAUUGUAAAGCAAUUUCAGAGCAAGCUUCUAAUGGCAACUUUAGUCCAUAGUUUGGAUCCUGUGCCCACCUGACAUCUAUUCUUUUUUUGAGAUGGAGUCUUGCUCUCUCUCCCAGUCUUGAGUGCAGUGGCGAGAUCUGGGCUCACUGCAAGCUCCGCCUCCCGGGUUCACGCCAUUCUCCUGCCUCAGCCUCCCGAGUAGCUGGGACUACAGGCGCCCACCACCAAGCCAGCUAAUUUUUUAUAUUUUUAGUAGAGACGGGGUUUCACGGUGUUAGCCAGGAUGGUCUCGAUCUCAUGACCUCGUGAUCCACCUGCCUCGGCCUCUGAAAUCUAUUCUUAGCUGUAGGUGGGGACCAGGACCAGAAUCUUCAGAGCAGGCCCUAGAAAGCUGGGAAGUCAGGGGAUUCCACUACAGGUUUCUCUAUUCUGUCGGCAUUUUAAGUGGUUCUGUUUAGAUCUAGUCACAUUAGAGCUACCCCUCAAACAGACGACGACUCUUAAGAGCCCUGGAAUUUCUUUAUUACCCAGGGAGUCACUGGGGACUGGCAGUAGGUGCCAGGUUUGGUGAUGGCGUUUUGUGAAUCGCUGAGCUCAUCUCAGGGCAGAGCAGCUUCCUAAUGUGACUGUCGUCUCCUCUUCCUUUCCCUCCAACACCAGCCACACUUCACUGCACUGGCCAGGUGUUUACCAACCUACCCCUUCGUACAAAGUUCAACCUGACAUUGUUUCGUAGUCAAUGAUAUAAAGCUUGUUGUCUAAGUCAGCAUCUGCAGUUUUACCGACUGAUAGAAAGGUACAAGAUAGAAUAUGAUUCGGGACAGGAGUCAUCAACGUGUUGCCUUUCUGUUGCAUGGAAUGAUACGUUUUGAAGUUGCAAGUGUCCUGAAAUUUCAGGACUUCAUCUUAAAGAUGAAAAAAAGAUGACGUGUCAUGCACAGCUAUUUAGUGGCAGAAUUUGAAUUCAACCCCAAGUCAGGUUAUGAUAUCUCCUGUGUCAGAGGAAAGUACUUUUGAUAAUCCCAGAAAUAUCAAGACUCCAGUGGCAGUGAAUAUUUGGUUUCCACUUUGAAAUGUAGAUCACAUUAGCAGGAUAUUCCCUAAAGGAGCUUUAUACACAGUUGGUCCUCUCUCUGUCAACCUCAUCUCCGACUCAAGUGGAUCGAGUUCAAAACAGCCACACUUGUUCCAGAAGCCAAUUUUGUUUGGGCCAUAAUAUAGAGAUGGUCCCAUACAGCCUUAAAGCAUGCUAAGCAUAGGUAGCUGUGUUUGUUACAAUAGUUGAAAGGAGAAAGCCAUAAAAACAAAGUCUCCCACUAUUUCAUCCAAUUUAAAAUUGCGGAAGGUGACAGAAAAUAUAACUGAAAGCUUUCCCUAACCUCUCUUAAAAGAAGUCCUAGAAAAAAAAAAAGAAAGCAUUUCUUUCCUUGAUGAUUUCUAAGUAAUAACUAAAUAUGGAUGCAAUUUUGAACCGUGUAUGGAUGUUCCCAGUGUAAUGUUCCUCUUUUGGAGACAUCGCAUCAUAUUUAUUUAUCUCACUCCCUGUCCUUUACCCCAUUAAAGUGGACCUGUGCAUAGUUGAUGCUUGUACCAAGAUACACACCUUCUUCCUGUUUCCAGGACGGUACGAUGGGAGGCAGGAGUGAGUGUCCGGAAAGAGGGAAGAAAAAAAACCAAAUCUCAUCGUUGCUUAUUUGUCUACUGCUUUUGGCUCUGCUGAGAUGUGAAGUCAUUCUCAUUUCUUUGUGUUCGGAAGUAUAGCCUGCGACUUGUUGAAAGCUUAGCGCUAGACCUGCCUCUCAGAGACUUGCUCCCUCUGGAAAUGCCCAGCUGAGGAUGCGCGUGGUGCGUGUUGAAGAACACUGCCUUAGAGGUGGACACUUGUGGACAGGUGCGCUGCGGCCGGACUCGGGGACA
rnacentral:lncRNA from 1 species